GACGAACGCUGGCGGCGUGCUUAACACAUGCAAGUCGAACGGAAAGGCCCUGCUUUUGUGGGGUGCUCGAGUGGCGAACGGGUGAGUAACACGUGAGUAACCUGCCCUUGACUUUGGGAUAACUUCAGGAAACUGGGGCUAAUACCGGAUAGGAGCUCCUGCUGCAUGGUGGGGGUUGGAAAGUUUCGGCGGUUGGGGAUGGACUCGCGGCUUAUCAGCUUGUUGGUGGGGUAGUGGCUUACCAAGGCUUUGACGGGUAGCCGGCCUGAGAGGGUGACCGGCCACAUUGGGCCUGCGAUACGGCCCAGACUCCUACGGGAGGCAGCAGUGGGGAAUAUUGCACAAUGGGCGGAAGCCUGAUGCAGCAACGCCGCGUGCGGGAUGACGGCCUUCGGGUUGUAAACCGCUUUCGCCUGUGAUGAAGCGUGAGUGACGGUAAUGGGUAAAGAAGCACCGGCUAACUACGUG
rnacentral:rRNA from 1 species